GAAGAUUUUUUUUUUUUUAUCAUUUGUCCUAUGGUUUUGGUUUUAUUUUACUUCAAUGGCAUUAUUUUAUUUGCAAUAACAGAAAAGGAAUUGCAUGUAUGAAGUUUUAAAUUGUGGGCUUUUCUUUGUUGUGGGGAGGGGGCUGGGGGGAGAUCGUUUUAAUUUCCAUUUUCUAAAAAGGACAGACUUGGAUUCUGUUUGUGCGUGUGCAUAUUUUAUUCAGCCUUAAAUUAUAAAUCUCAUCUGUCCCACUGCAUUCCCUGUGUAUUUUCAGGACAUAGCUCGUGGGUGUGUGUGUUCAGUGUGUGUGUCUGUGUAUAUUUUUCUGUCGUUACUGUUCCUUCUCCUCCCGAGUUUUCUGCAUUCAGUUGAUAAAUCAGUUGCCUGCUUCUCUCAAAGUGCUUUGAAGGUCUUGAACUCCCGUAUGAGCAUCUUUAUUGCUGUCCCAGUUGCAUGUUCCCCAUCACAUAUUCUCUCUUAUUUGCUAGAUACCCCCUGAGAAUAUGUUCUAGAGAUUUGGAGUAAAGCUGUCUGGAUAAAGGAGGAGGCUUGGCAGACCUGUGAAUAAUACACUUUAGUCUAGUUCUUUCUUCUAAAUUUGGAUUGCCAGUAUUAUGUAUUUAAACCAAGUCUGUGAACACCUGCCUUUUUGGCCACGGGGUAACAAGUUUUCACGAAGAUCUUCAUGCCAAAGUAGGAAGUAAAAAUAGCUUCAAAAGCCCUGUUGGGUGUCUUGUGCAGCUGACAGAGGUAAGGUUACAUCGCUUCGAAAAAGAAAGCAAGACAGUCGAUUACCCUAAAAGUAAAUUCUCUUUGGAAAAUACAGUGCACCACACACGUCCGUCUAGAAAUCCACUAUCUGAUAAACAGUUAAAAUGCAAAAUAGGCUUGAUUCUUAGUCAAUUUACUCCCUGGUUCUGAGUGAACUUCUUUUCUUAGCCUUGCUGUCUUGUUUGUUUUAUUUUUUCUUCACCUUUUAAAGACACGCAUGACAUAGGAAAGUCAAUAUUGUUUCCUUUUUUCUUUUUUCUUUCUCUCUCUUUUUUUUAGAAUUCAUGGAUCAAUCUAAUCUUAUUAAUAAUGGAACAUGUAAAUAUAGUGAGAACUGUUUUUCAGGAGAUGAGUGUGGGUUGGAGGGAAGGAAGGUGGUUCUACUUGUGUUCCAGAAUCCUCGUCAGAGAAGGUAUCUUGUCCUUCGGGGAGCACCUGAAGGUGUGGAGGGGUUUAGCCAGUUUAACAGAAAAGAUGGAGGAAGGAGCGUAACGCUUACCAGUUUCCCAGCCUGUAUUUUUAUAUCACGACUGUUUAUGUUCUCAGAGUUGGUGAAGGACCACCUUUGUGUAUAAAAGUGUCGCUUCAACCUUGCAAUGGUAACAAAAUGACCUGCUUUAUCUGGGUAGAAUUCAAGAUGGCUGUAUCUUCAGUUGUAUGAUAAAAACGGUUCACAUGACUGUGUGGCAUCUAAAAAUAAUACCUGUUUUUACAGCAUCUCUCUGCCACUAAAUUGUUGACUUGAAUUUUGAAAAACAAGUUGGUGUUGAUAUGUAUAUGUGUGUGUGUAUAUAUGUAUUUAUAGACAAGUGUGUGUGAGUGCCACGUGAGUUAAUAGUCUUCCCCUACGCAUGUGUAUCCACACACACAUGGCUGAGUUAUAGUCACUAAACAAUUUGCAAUAAAAACAAAAGAUUCAUUGUCAGUGAAAACAGGAAUUAGUGUUUUAAUAAAUCUGCUCUUAUGGUGAGUAAACUCUUUAAGAACGCUCGUUGCCAUAUUAACUUAGGCUAAGAUUGAAGAGUACCAUAAUUUGUGUCUAAAUUCAGACUGAGAUAGAAAUCACUCAAGUUGUGGGGUGUUGCUUCUUAUUUCACACUGUAAUAGGAAACAUCAUUUCUAUUAAUUCAGAUACCUAAAAUGAAUAGUUUUCUGUAUCCUCUUUUCUUUGUUUUUCUGUCGUUGUUAGUGGUCUCAAAAUUCUGAUCAAUAACUUUGUGUGUAGUGCUGAAUCCCAAACUCUGAAUGAUCCAGUUGAAAACCCAUCCCUGUCCUUCCUUCAGCUGAGGUUUGGGGAUGGUGAGUUUCCCUCAGUGUCCUGCAUUAUACCAGACUAAAGGAAGAACAGGUAAUAAAUAGGGAGAAAGAAAUGUCUGUCUAGUGGCUUUGGUCAUGUCUCCACAGGAGAGACGAACCAUUCGAUUGUCUUUCGAUUUUAGUUCAUUCCACUCUAAGGAGUUUGUUUCUUUCAGUUGUUGGCUUGCCAGAGUGUCGCAGUAGCAGUAGCUAUCCCUCUGUUGGUCUCUUGGUCAACACUGGUCCAUCAGACUGUUUUGAUUGGUAGUCGUUAUUGGUAGAGUCAUGCCCUGCACCGUUAUCUUCUAAGUUUAAAAAAAAAAAAAAAAAGUGCACAGGCAUUUCAUCGGUUUUUUCCUUAACCCACCCUCACCCCACGCCAACACUGACAUGCUGUCUGUGGACGAAGAGCGAUUCCCAGAAUCUUUAGGCAAGCUGCCACCAUCCCCUUGCCGUGGGCUUUCCCAGUAGGUGCACAUAUGUUUCUGUUUCUGUACAGUACUCUGUAUUUUUUGAUAAAAUAGCUAUUUGACUUAGCAGGGUUGAAGUGGCUUUUAAUUAUCUUGUGGGCAUUAUUGGACACGUCUUUUUAAAAACAAUCUGACCUUAAUCGUGCCACACUUGGUUGACUAAUUUAUUUUGAGCAUUAAAGUUUUUCUUCUGUUAAUUUAGACAUUAUCACAAUUCUGUAUCGUUACUGACUUAGGAAAGAUUGCACUUAAGCUUCUGUUAAAUGUGAUUUCUUGGCAGAUUUUCCUUUGAGUCAAAUGUCUGAAACAAUGAACAUAUAUCCCAAUUUUAAACUAACUAAUUGUGGAAAGAACAUUUUUAAACAAUUCCAAGUUUAAAUCCAUAAGACACUUCAAGAUCUUCAGAACUUUAAAGCACAUUUAAAAUUAUUUUAGUAAGAAUUUUGUUUUAUCAAUACAUGUUGAAUUCUGUUUUUUAGUUAAAAAAAAAAACACAAAGCUUAGAUUUCAGAAAGAGGGAGGGAGAAUAGCUGGUGGUCCCAGAGUGUGCUGCUGUUAAUUGUUUAAUUAACAAAGGGGAAAUGUAUAUAAACAGAUAUAAAAGUUACCAUAAAUUCCAUGAACUUAAAUCUGUGAUUCAUUGCCUUAAAACUUUCUCUCUUAGAAUUUCCAUACCGCAUGCCAAACCAGUAAAAUGGCUUUUAAAAAUGUAUAGUAGACCAAUGUCAGUUUGUAUAAAAGUACCAAGUGAAAAUAUUUAUUACAUGCAUUGGAAAAAAAUUGUUUACCUAUUGAAUGUUACCUGUUUAUGUAGAGCUCUUUAGAUGUAAUAAAAGAAAAGCCUUCAGUUAAUUUGUCUUCUGUAAAAUAUACUGUGGGUAUGCAAGGGACCAUCCCCGUAAGAAAACUGAUAAUGCUUGGUGUUUCAGAGCACCAUUCAUCCAGAGAUUUCAAAGCAUGGCAGUUAAUUCCCUUGCAACAUGCUUUGAGGUAAGUAAUGCAUAUACAGCCAUCAUUCCCCCUUUCUUACUGAAAUAUGGCAAGCUUUGUACUGAAACCACAGCAUCUGUUUAGUUUUAAAUCUAUUUGAUAAUCUGCAGUUUGAGUGCUAAGAGAGGUGUGGCCUGUUUUUGUAAACAACGCUAGGUGCCAGGUAAACCAACUGGGAUUUCAGGAAUGAACAAGAAACGGCCUUGGGGUAGUAAGAGAAGGCCUUUCCUGGGGUAGAGGUUUCAGUGAGAACGAGUCAUAGGGUUUUGGAGUCCUAGCCACUGAACACCCAGAAUUAGGAACAUGGAGUCGGUGCAGAUGAGCCCAGGCUCUAACGACCAAGCCACUCAGGGGCUUUGGGCAAGCGAUACUUCCUGGUAGGAAAAUGAGAUUGAUAAAACUUUGCUUUAAAACUAUCCUGGGACCAUUCAGUGACAAACAUUUAAAAAGCUUGGAGGGGAAGUACCCUUGUUUAUUAUUUUAGCCCAGAACUUCCUUUCCUGUCCUAUCUAACUCCUAGGUAUCUGCUGUAUCAUCCGUGGUAUUCCAGAUUGGCUGUGCAGGGCUUGCUUCCUCAUGUCCAUGACGAGUCAAAAAGAGAUGUGGGGCCAGGACCCCUAAGCCUUGGCUGAAAGUGAAAUGUAGCAGUUCUCAAUGGGGUACCGCAGAGAAGCCUUCAGCUCUUUGCUUGAUGCUGGUUCUCAGCUAGCACUGGCUUUGCCUUGGAAACGUGGAAGAUGGUUCCAGCACCCAAAUACAGAAUAGUGUCUUUUGGUAGAUUGUCCUUUUUAGGAGACCCACCCGCAUGGUAACUCAGGACCGCACAGUGCUCUGCGAUUGGCAAUGGCGGUUUCAGGCCACUAUUUCAGACCAUCCUCAGGGGGCUCUGUGAGGUAAGAAGUAGGAAUCUAACUUUAGGAAUCCAGCUGAGGCUUUGAGGGGGUGAAAUGACUUACCCAGAGUCCAGAGUCACAUAGCUUGGCAAAUGGCAGAGUCGGAAGUGGAACCCAGGCCCAACUCCAAACCUUGGGCUCUUUCAAUGCUAUAAAGGGCUGGACUAAUGGUAGUUAUUAAAAUCAGUAUAAAUCUUUUUAUUAAAGGCCUGCUGAUGCCACGGCUGAGAUCCUUUUGUCUCAGAGCCAAGCUACCCUCUGGUACCGUCGGGUCAUGUCACCCCGCUGCCAUGUUCACCAUUUCCCCAGAGGGAACGGAACACUUUUCCUUUCAGAAGCUCCUCAGUCUGCAUCUC